GGAAGUAAAAGUCAUAACAAGGUUUCCGUAGGUGAACCUGCGGAAGGAUCAUUAAAGAAUUUGCCCCGUCCUCUCGAGGAUGGGUCCUCUUCUAAACCGUGUAUACAUACCUUUGUUGCUUUGGCGGGCCGCCGUCUCGGCGUUGGCUUCGGCUGACUGUGCCCGCCAGAGGACCCCAACUCUUCUGUUUAGUAUUGUCUGAGUACUAUAUAAUAGUUAAAACUUUCAACAACGGAUCUCUUGGUUCUG
rnacentral:misc_RNA from 1 species